rnacentral:rRNA from 1 species
UACUCCUACGGGAGGCAGCAGUAGGGAAUAUUGCACAAUGGGCGCAAGCCUGAUGCAGCAACGCCGCGUGAGGGACGACGGCCUUCGGGUUGUAAACCUCUUUUAGUAGGGAAGAAGCGAAAGUGACGGUACCUGCAGAAAAAGCACCGGCUAACUACGUGCCAGCAGCCGCGGUAAUACGUAGGGUGCAAGCGUUAUCCGGAAUUAUUGGGCGUAAAGAGCUCGUAGGCGGUUUGUCGCGUCUGCUGUGAAACCCCGAGGCUCAACCUCGGGCCUGCAGUGGGUACGGGCAGACUAGAGUGCGGUAGGGGAGAUUGGAAUUCCUGGUGUAGCGGUGGAAUGCGCAGAUAUCAGGAGGAACACCAAUGGCGAAGGCAGAUCUCUGGGCCGUAACUGACGCUGAGGAGCGAAAGCAUGGGGAGCGAACAGGAUUAGAUACCCUGG